rnacentral:rRNA from 1 species
AUUGAACGCUGGCGGCAGGCUUAACACAUGCAAGUCGAACGAGUGGCGGACGGGUGAGUAAUGCUUGGGAAUCUAGCUUAUGGAGGGGGAUAACUACGGGAAACCGUAGCUAAUACCGCGUACCAUAGGAUGUGCCCAAGUGGGAUUAGGUAGCUGGUGAGGUAAAGGCUCACCAAGCCGACGAUCUCUAGCUGGUCUGAAAGGAUGACCAGUGCAACUGGGACUGAUACGCGGCCCAGACUCCUCCGGGAGGCAGUAGUGGGGAAUAUUGCUGAAUGGGGGCAAGCUUAUGCAGCCAUGACGCGUGAAUGACGAAGGCCUUCGGGUUGUAAAGUGCUUUCCGUAGCGAGGCGUUACCUACAGAGGAAGCACCGGCUAACUCCGUGCCAGCAGCCGCGGUAAUAC